UCCAGCCAGCUGUAUCUGACUCUUCAGACCCAGAGUCGAGUGACCACAGUCAAGUUGUCUGGCCACGAGGCUACCGGAGGAGCAAGCCAAGCACCCAUGCAGUCAUUUGACGUGGCAGAGAGAGCAGGAAGGAGAAGAGAGCAGAGAUAUCCACACAUAGCCCCACAUUCCACACAUGCAGCUGGUUCACUCAACGGUGCUGUGGAGCUGUGGGACCAAAUGCUGCAGUUCUGGAGGAGACAGAACAUCAGGGGCUGGACUGAGAAGUUUCCUUUUGCUGAGCCGAACAUGCUGCAAUUAUCCAAAACAACAACCCUUCACUCAGUGUGACUUACUGCUCGGGGCCUUUUGGAGUCUUAAAUGUUUUUGCAUUUUUUUUUUUAUGUAUGUCAUGAUUAUAGUGUAAGACAAGAGUUCCCAGUCUGGGACUUGGGAUCCCAAGGCAAUAGCAAAGACAAUGAUCAUUUAAAGAAAGAAAAACAACUCAUUUCUACUACAUAAAAUCUAUUAAGUCUAUUUUUUUCACAUAUCUCUGAAAUUUAGCUUUUUUUGUUAAUAAAAAACAAAGUAGUUUUACCUCAUUCAGGAUUCUAAACAGUAUUUGAUCGAAGAUCUUCCUCUAGUGACACCUUAAGGGUCAACUGACGUUUGCUGCUGAUCACAUGGACAAAGGAAAGGCUUUAUGGAGGAACGUUCUGUGGUCAGAUGGAACACAAAAUUAAGCUUUUUGCCCACAAACACCAGAAUUAUGUUUGGAGGAGAGAAAGUGAGGCAACCCUGCCAUCAAGCAUGGUGGUGGCAGUAUAAUGCUCAGGGAUUGUCUUGCUGCCAAUGGAACUGGUGCUUUACACAUAUAUAAUGAAAUAAUUACAGAGGAGGAUUAUCUCCACAUUCUUCAGGAAAAAACAACUAAAUCAGGCUGGAAUUAAGGUUUUAGACUGUCCUUCCCAAAGUCCUGACUUAAACCCCAACAAAAACCUAUGGACUGUGAUAAGGAAACAAGUCUGUUUUCAGAAAACUAUCAAAUUACAAUUAAACAAAUAAAUUAAAUUUAGUUGAACUGCUCCAAUACUGCCAAGAAAGAGUGAUCAGAGAUACAACUAGAAGCUUGUAGACGGCUACCAAAAUCCCCUAAUUGAAGGGAAAGUAAUCAAAGGAUGUUUACCAAAAAUUAACACUGCUGUAUAUAAAUGUAGAGUUCUUUUUUUUUUUAGUUUUUAUUGUAAUAGACAGAGAGAGAGACAUGAAACAUGGGGAGAAGAGUCGAGGAAGGACAUCCAGCAAAUGACCGUGAACUGGAAUCAAAUCCUGGUCACUGCGUCAGGGACGAUAGCCCCUGUUUAUGACUCACCUGCUCAACCUGUAGGGCUAUCUGGGAGCCCGUAUAUGUAGAUUUUUUUUUUUACAUAUUUCCAGAAGACUAUAAACCAAAUGCAUGAUUGUUUUUGUUUGUUUGUGUUUGAGACUCGUGUGUUUCAAUUAUUCCAGCAUAGAAAAUUAGGAGUUAUAGAAGUCAUUGAUAACUGAAGACUGCUUGGAUAUAUUUUCAUCACUUUCUUGCCUUCAGCAAGUUCAUAAUGCAACAGCUCAACACAUAGACAAGAACAAGGCUGCUGUGCAUCAUAGACUGCAUACAUGUUCUGUAAAUAUUUUUAUGCAGUCUGUGAUGCGUAUGGUCUGAAUGUGAAUAUGAUUGUUUGUGUAUUGAAUGUGUAGCUCUGUGAUAGACUGGUGACCUGUCCAGGUGUCCCUUGCCUUCACCCUAAGUCACCUGGGAUAGACUCCAGCCCCCCAUGACCCUAAUGAGGGUUAAGUAGUGUAUCGAUAAUGGAUGGACGGAUGGAUGGAUGAUAUGCAGGCUUUGUGGUUCCAAACUUACAGAAGUGUGUCAGAUUCAGGUACCUCAUGGUAUCAACUUCUUUGUAAUAGAACCAUGGCACAAGCCCAUUAGGAGAAGAGUUACCCACAAUUACUUAGGCCUCUUGUACUUGUAAGAAUGUCCGACAUAUUAAGGUAUGUCCAAACCUGUUACACGCCAUUCAUUUUUUCAAAGCACAAUGUUUUAUAUGCAGAAAUAUGCUUUUCCCGCUAUGUCCGGGCCUCUAUUUAUUAGAACAACAAAACACCGACUGUAAACUUGAUCAAAAGAGCUACUCUAUUAAAAACACGAGCAUAUGCCUUUUCAUGGAAACCUACAGUAUGGAUAGAACCCCAUAUUGGGCCAGUUGGAUGUCAUACAACUAAGAAAUCAAUAAAUCUUUACCCCCCAGGGAGUAAUUGAUUCUCAUCAAUCAGACACUUCCUGUAGACCCAGCAGACUGCUGUUAUGCACUGAACACACUGGAUCCUAAUAACACAGCAGUGUGCCUGCUGCCAGUAAAUAACAGAACCAUAAACACAGUGCAAAGGCAUUAAAUUGUCCACUUGUAGGUACAUUUAAACUUAGAUUAAGCAAUGCUCAAAGUCUGCACUAAAAUUGUUGAUGUAGUUCACCUCAAACGUUUCUACAUGGCAGCACAGAUGACAUCCCUGAUUACCUCUCUGCCCCUGACUAGGAUGGUGUGUCACGGUGGCAGCAGCAGUCUCCUCUCCAUCUUCUUCAAUUCACCUCCAAUGGAUCUGCCGCUCACAUCCAUGCACCAGUAUCCCUUAAUGAGCAUUCUGUUCUCCCACCCCGGUUAGAGUGGACUGGAUCCUUCCGCCAGCCACCUUAAUUCUUCCAUGCAGCUGGAGUCAGAGAGGUGCUGCUGCUCAGACACCACUGCCGAUGCUACUGUUGCAGCUCAUUGGUCGGUAGCAUAGAGGACACACCCCCACCCACCCACACUCUCUCGCUACCCAAUAAAGGACAGACUGGAUGUGGUGAUGCUCUUUGUCCUUCCCAGCAAUGCUGUCUAUCCAAACAUCAAAGGCAUGAGCCUCGUGAUCUACUUUUGGCAUGUGGGAGGCUCAUCAGUCCAUGGAAGAAGGUGCUGAAUGGAUGAUAGGACAGGAGAUCAGGGCUGUGCUCAGAUGUCAUACACAGAUCUAGAUUGCCAUCUUUAGUAUUAUUUGUUGAAAUUUGUAGGUUUAAACAACUUCAAUUUUCAUCUUACAAUUAAAUAGAUUGGUAUAAUUGAACGCGAGUGUAAUGGGGGAACAGAAAGGCUACAAUAGGUGUAGGCCUAAAAGAUGUCUACUAAUGUUAUGUCACUGUAAAGGAAUAACUGAGUGACUCGUUUUUUAAAUCUCUAAAAGUCUUGGAAUAAUUUUAAGCAAGGCUUAGCUUUCUUGUAAAUUGUGAAAAUAUUUAGCACCUGAAAUGUUGAAACCAUAGCUAUAAAAUACCUUUUAGCUCAUCAUGAUUAAAAAGAUAACAUUUUCAAAUCAUAUGUAUUUAGCAGCAUAGCCAUAAACUCUACAUCCACAAAAAUAAUAAUGCUCAGUUGGGGUGGUAAUUUAAAUGCAACAAUGUUGAUGAGUUGCAGUUUACAGUGGUGUUGAACUAGACCACGGGGGGUGGGGAGAAGAACCUUUUUCUGUAUGUUGCCCUCUGUAUGUUCAUUUGUAAGGCGCUUAUCCCAUGUAAAUCUAUGUUGCAACUUAAGUAUUUACACUUCACUGUAAGGCAACACAUUAUUUAUUUCAUCCAUUUAUUACAGAAUUAUAGAAUUAUAAAAUAAAGUAGUUUUUUAAUGUGCAGUAAAGGUAAUAAUGAAGCUCUUUGCCUGAAUAUUUUGAUGUUUGAAUUCAGCAUAUCUGCUAUAAAUGACAGCAACAUGUACUCUGUAUUGUAAUUAUGUUAUAACAGCUGAGAUUAAGUUAAGGUUGAUAAAUGAUACCUGUGAAUUCAAAGAACAGAGAAUAAUAAACUGCUGAAAGAG